rnacentral:rRNA from 1 species
CAGCCGCCGCGGUAAUACGGAGGGUGCAAGCGUUAAUCGGAAUUACUGGGCGUAAAGCGCACGCAGGCGGUUUGUUAAGUCAGAUGUGAAAUCCCCGAGCUUAACUUGGGAACUGCAUUUGAAACUGGCAAGCUAGAGUCUUGUAGAGGGGGGUAGAAUUCCAGGUGUAGCGGUGAAACGCGUAGAGAUCUGGAGGAAUACCGGUGGCGAAGGCGGCCCCCUGGACAAAGACUGACGCUCAGGUGCGAAAGCGUGGGGAGCAAACAGGAUUAGAUACCCCUGUAGUCCCUGUCUCUUAUAC